UUGCGCAAUAUCUGUCUUUGUUCCUGGUCAGUAUAAGAUCUCAGUGAGCUGCUCAGAACAUUAAAGAGAAAGAAGAACCAUGGCAGAGAAUCAGACGAGGAACCCGGCCCGGGUGAGGGACAUGUACGAGGGACUUGAUCCAAGUACGAUGAAUGAACGUGAAAGAAACGCGCACAUUGAAAGAACUUUAGGGGAACACCCAGAUGUUCUUUUCAGAAUAUAUCAACAAAAUAGACUCCAUAUGGUGAUGUUCAGACCGAGUGAUCCUGAAGAGUGGACGAGGGUGAUACGGAGGAGGAUUAUAACGAACAUGUCAUUUCAACUGACUAAAAAACGUGCUGCGAAUGACAUCUUCAAAAUCAGCAUGUCUGGUCCUCAGGAGGAACUGAGAGAUUUCUGUGAAGAUUUUGAUCAGCUCUAUAGCGAGGUCAUGAAAAACCUCCAGGAUGGAGGAGCAGCAGGAGGAGCAGCAGCAGCAACACCAGAUGAUGAUGAUGAUGAUGUUGAGGAGCUCAGAGAGAGGAUCAGGGAGCUGGAACUGGAAAACAGAAAGCUGCGGAAGAAAUAGAUAUCUAUAAGUUGAAACCAGGACUGGGUACUGGGAAAAACUUCAACAUGUUACAAACCAAACUUCCAACAUCACCAUCUCCUGUUCUGAUUUCUGUGUAGCGCUGGACAGGAUAAAGUUUGACACAAAUGAAGAAGCUGAAUUUUUAUUUAAUAUAGACUCAAUGUUUGAUCAUUGUUCACUCGAUCACUGAGAGGUAUUUGCUCUACGCAUGCAAUUUUUAAACAAAUCGUUUCUUUUAUUUCUUUUAGAAUAAAAAGUACAAAUAUUGUGGA